UGUAAACGAUGUCGAUUUGGAGAUUGUGCCCUUGAGGCGUGGCCUCCGGAGCUAACGCGUUAAAUCGACCGCUGGGGAGUACGGCCGCAAGGUUAAAACUCAAAUGAAUUGACGGGGGCCCGCACAAGCGGUGGAGCAUGUGGUUUAAUUCGAUGCAACGCGAAGAACCUUACUACUCUUGACAUCCAGAGAACUUAGCAGAGAUGCUUUGGUGCCUUCGGGAACUCUGAGACAGGUGCUGCAUGGCUGUCGUCAGCUCGUGUUGUGAAAUGUUGGGUUAAGUCCCGCAACGAGCGCAACCCUUAUCCUUUGUUGCCAGCGGUUCGGCCGGGAACUCAAAGGAGACUGCCAGUGAUAAACUGGAGGAAGGUGGGGAUGACGUCAAGUCAUCAUGGCCCUUACGAGUAGGGCUACACACGUGCUACAAUGGCGUAUACAAAGAGAAGCGACCUCGCGAGAGCAAGCGGACCUCAUAAAGUACGUCGUAGUCCGGAUUGGAGUCUGCAACUCGACUCCAUGAAGUCGGAAUCGCUAGUAAUCGUAGAUCAGAAUGCUACGGUGAAUACGUUCCCGGGCCUUGUACACACCGCCCGUCACACCAUGGGAGUGGGUUGCAAAAGAAGUAGGUAGCUUAACCUUCGGGAGGGCGCUUACCACUUUGUGAUUCAUGACUGGGGUGAAGUCGUAACAAGGUAACCA
rnacentral:rRNA from 1 species